rnacentral:rRNA from 1 species
UACGUAGGGUGCGAGCGUUGUCCGGAAUUAUUAGGCGUAAAGGGCUCGUAGGCGGUCUGUUGCGUCGGGAGUGAAAACUUACAGCUUAACUGUGAGCGUGCUUCCGAUACGGGCAGACUUGAGGUAUUCAGGGGAGAACGGAAUUCCUGGUGUAGCGGUGAAAUGCGCAGAUAUCAGGAGGAACACCGGUGGCGAAGGCGGUUCUCUGGGAAUAUCCUGACGCUGAGGAGCGAAAGUGUGGGGAGCGAACAGG